rnacentral:rRNA from 1 species
AACGAACGCUGGCGGCAGGCUUAAUACAUGCGAGUCGAGCGGGCACUUCGGUGUCAGCGGCGCACGGGUGCGUAACGCGUGGGAACAUGCCUUUAGGUACGGAACAACCAAGGGAAACUUUGGCUAAUACCGUAUAAUAUCUCUGGAUCAAAGAUUUAUCGCCUAAAGAUUGGCCCGCGUUAGAUUAGGUAGUUGGUGGGGUAAUGGCCUACCAAGCCGACGAUCUAUAGGGGGUCUGAGAGGAUGAUCCCCCACACUGGAACUGAGACACGGUCCAGACUCCUACGGGAGGCAGCAGUAAGGAAUAUUGGACCAUGGGCGAAAGCCUGAUCCAGCCAUGCCGCGUGAGUGAUGAAGGCCUUAGGGUUGUAAAGCUCUUUUAGAUGGGAAGAUAAUGACUGUACCAUCAGAAUAAGCCCCGGCUAAAUUCGUG